rnacentral:rRNA from 1 species
GCUUUAGCGCGGUGGUCCCACCUGACCCCAUGCCGAACUCAGGCUUUGAAGCGUGGACGCCAGUCUGCGUGGAGCCAACCUUGAAAUACCACCCUUUAAUGGCUGGUGUUCUAACGUAGACCCGUAAUCCGGGUUGCGGACAGUGUCUGGUGGGUAGUUUGACUGGGGCGGUCUCCUCCCAAAGAGUAACGGAGG